rnacentral:ncRNA from 2 species
CGAUGAGGUAGAGGUUGCGGCAUUUAUGAGUAAAACGGAUGAGACACAGAGAAUGUCAAUGAAUCUGUUUAAAAGGAAAUGCUGCCGAAGUUUAUAUUUCUUCUCUGGAAGUAUGAGCUGGGGCUGUCUCCGAAUAGGAACAGAACUGUCACGUUUACAAAGUACCGUUGUAAACGUGGGGUGCUAUCUUAACG